AUGAAUAUUCAGCUGGACCACUGUGAUGAUGACCACAUUUCCAACAACAAUGAAUGCAUAAAUGAAGAGCAGUAUAACAAAACAGAUGACAGAAUCUCUCCAGGAAUAAGGGAAAGCGGAGAAGAUAAACUCAUGAGCAGUGGUUUGAUUGGCAUUCUCCAUCUCCAGAUCAAAGGAGAAUCAGUACUCCAAGGAAGACUUCAAGUUCUGGUGACCACUGUUACCUCUUUUCUUGUCAUCAUUGCGGAUUAACCAGUCAGCCUCCAUUUAGGUGUGGAAUUGGAAGUAUACUGUAUAAAGGUACACUCACCUUUAAUUGGACCUCAUCCUUUCAAAAACACAAGAAAUAGGACGAUGUCAAAAGAGCCUUACUGACGUUAAUUAUUGUGAACAAAUUAAUUAAUAGAAAAUAGAUCAAUUUUCAUGAAAAUAUGUAAGUUAGAAGUAUGCCAUACUAAAGAAGAUGGAAGAGUGCCAAGUUUUACCCAACAAUAUACACAGAGUUUUCCUUCAAAUUGUUUUUACUAAUUCUGCUGAACUCUUUAUACUCCCCCCUUUUCAGCACAAAAUAUAUUAAAGAUUUCUAUGUGCUUCUUGUAUACUACUUCCUUCCGCUCUUUUCUUGCUGCUGCUGCUGCUGCUGCUAAGUCGCUUCAGUCGUGUCCGACUCUGUGCGACCCCAUAGACGGCAGCCCACCAGGCUCCCCCGUCCCUGAGAUUCUCCAGGCAAGAACACUGGAGUGGGUUGCCAUUUCCUGCUCCAAUGCAUGAAAGUGAAAAGUGAAAGGGAAGUCGCUCAGUCGUGUCUGACUCUUAGCGACCCCAUGGACUGCAGCCUACCAGACUCCUCUGUCCAUGGGAUUUUCCAGGCAAGAGUACUUAAAUUCACAUAAUUCCUUCUCACCUCAUGGCUAUAAAGAAAUAGCUACAGAGUAGUUAGUCCAUAUUUAUCAUGCUGUGAACGCUCACAAAUUGUUUUCAUGACUCAAUAUAAAUGAGGCAAAAGCUUAGAUGUUUAAUAUUAAC
rnacentral:lncRNA from 1 species